GUGCACACUUUGGCAACACAUAUACAAAAAUUAGAAUGAUACAGAUAAGAUUAGCAUGGCCCUUGCACAAAAAUAACACAUAAAUUGGUGAAACAUUCCAUAUACAG